rnacentral:ncRNA from 1 species
UGAUAGAGGUGCAUUUUUCAAAAGUAUUCUGAGACUACGGAGGGGCCCGGAAGGCCGUUUCAGAAGAAAGGGGAAGAUGCCGAAGGGACUGCAGACCCGAAUGCGGUUCCUGGGACACAGCAGAAUAUGCUGUGGACUGUCACUUUGGUGGAGCGCUAUCAGAU